rnacentral:lncRNA from 1 species
GGCCAAAUAAAAAAGUAUGUGUGGUUCUAGUUACAUCUGAAAAAAAGUUAGGGUAGGUAGGUAGGGAUUUUUUUUUAUUUUACAUUGAGUCUAUGGGAGCAACAUUCUGACUUUAACAGUGCUUAAUGAAAAAUGACAAUAAAAUCUUUAGGGUAGGCUAUUUUUAAGCCGGAAAAGUAGGGACGGUAGGGUUACUGGAACCACACAUAUAUUUUUAUUUGGCCUUAUUAGAAUUGUUUUUAUAGUUACUGAGUAAGGAAAAUAUUUCUAUAUAUAUUUAUCUUUUACACUAGUCGUGAAAGAAAAUUUACAGUAAGGUCCCUUUCAGAUAUAAACUAGGUCUUUAUAUUGUUCAUUUUUACUUAUUUAUUUGUUGUAUUUUUUUGCUGAAACAUCAAUUGUUUUAGGAUUUUUGACUUUGAGCAGUCGAACGCAUUGGAUAUAAACAGAUUUAGGGGUGUUUUUUUUUCGUUUUUAAACAUGUAUCUAUCAUGAAGACAUAAUCAUGCUUCCAUUGAAAACUUGCCUAACAAUACAUUCUGAUUAAACAUAAGAAGAAUACUGGCAAAGAUCUAUAACAAUGAUACGUAAACAUAUGGUAGGUCUGAUGUUCUUUGUGUUGAAAUAAAAAAGUAAAAUAAAAAAAUUACCAUGAAAAUAUAAAACGGAAUGUCAAUUAUCAAAUGUCAAAAUCAAAGGCUCAAACACAUCAAACGAAUGGAAAACAACUUUGUACAGGCAUUCCCUUGCGUAGAAAAUUGUAGAUUAAAUUUGUUUUUACAGCAAGCUCAACCUCUCACUUCUAUGACAGUUGUUUUAAAUUCCAUUAUAAUAACAACAAUGUAUCAACAAAAUAAACAAACAAAAACGGUAAAAUGUCAUAAAUUGGGGCCCAUCAACGUUGUGUUAUAAUCUUAAUUACUAUAAAAACAAAUAAACUAUGUCAAUAAAGAAAACAAAAUAGCUAGAGCCAAAGCACAUAGUCGAACAUGAAAGACAAGGAUACAAAAAAAUGGCCAUAACACAAUAACAUAAUGGUGGCAUAUAUGAAUACCAAGCCAUGCCAUAACUUUUAUCAAACAUGGACUAGCCGUUCAAUUACCAUCAGCUGCAAAGGACUGCAUAUUUAUUUUUAGAAGCACAUAAACACGGUCCAUAGAGGGUUAGCAGGAAUGAGAACCAUUAAAACUGAGAGAUAAAAUAAAAAAGAAAAAAGUACAGAUGGCAUCUUAGAAAAACUUUGCACAAUACAGCAUUAAACAAAUAUUGAGAUGAUUGGUAUGCUGUGCUAAGAUUCUAAAUUAUGAUCGAAAUUUUUAUUGGGCCCCCCUCUAAAUCCGCCUCUGCUAUUCAAUAGCCAUAUUAAAUCGAUUAAGCGAAAACUAAUCCGGGUUACAAACUUAAACCGAGGGAAACACAUCAAAUGUAAGGGGAAAGUAAUGGAACAAUAUGGGAUAACAUUUUAUUGAUUGAUUGCUUAACUUGCAAACAAGUUUAUUUGUAAUUUGAAAAACAAACCCGAUGCAGAAGAUACGUCGUGUAGAUAACUAAUUAUUAAAACACUGAACAUCUCAUAUAUACUGAUUAAGAAGACACACAAGCAGGAAACAAAAAAAGACUGAUAGAUUCGCACGAAUUCCAAAAAGAACGACGUCAGAUGCGUCGACGCGGUAAGCGUCUCCUGUUAUGUAAGUAUCACCACGCGGUAAGCGCCUCCUGUUAUGUAAGUAUCACCACGCGGUAAGCGUCUCCUGUUAUGUAAGUAUCACCACGCGGUAAACGUCUCCUGUUAUGUAAGUAUUACCACACGGUUAGAGUCUCCUGCUAUGUAAGUAUCACAUGUUAUUACUUUUUGUCGACUUCGAAAUGAAAUUGUUCAUUUUUUCCUAAGACAUGGAUCAUCAAUUUGAUUUUAUUAUCCAUCAGUUGACAACAACACUUUAAUUUAAUUGUUCAAAAUACAAUAAAAACUUACCUUUUGAGUGAAUAUUUAUUCCAAGUUUAAAACAACCUAUUACAUGUAGGUAGGUCUUUCUCGCUACAUUGAAGACCCAUUGAUUUAAAGUGUCAUUCCAUUGACGAACAUGAAAUUUGGAUGGGUUAUAUCACU